rnacentral:rRNA from 2 species
AAUGCAAGUCGAGCGGAUGAAAGAGAGCUUGCUCUCUGGAUUCAGCGGCGGACGGGUGAGUAACACGUGGGCAACCUGCCUGUAAGACUGGGAUAACUCCGGGAAACCGGGGCUAAUACCGGAUAACUUCUUUUCCCGCAUGGGGAGAGGUUGAAAGACGGUUAUGCUGUCACUUACAGAUGGGCCCGCGGCGCAUUAGCUAGUUGGUGGGGUAACGGCCUACCAAGGCGACGAUGCGUAGCCGACCUGAGAGGGUGAUCGGCCACACUGGGACUGAGACACGGCCCAGACUCCUACGGGAGGCAGCAGUAGGGAAUCUUCCGCAAUGGACGAAAGUCUGACGGAGCAACGCCGCGUGAGUGACGAAGGCCUUCGGGUCGUAAAACUCUGUUAUCAGGGAAGAACAAGCAUCGUUUAACUGACGGUGCCAUGACGGUACCUGACCAGAAAGCCACGGCUAACUACGUGCCAGCAGCCGCGGUAAUACGUAGGUGGCAAGCGUUGUCCGGAAUUAUUGGGCGUAAAGCGCGCGCAGGCGGCUUCUUAAGUCUGAUGUGAAAGCCCACGGCUCAACCGUGGAGGGUCAUUGGAAACUGGGAGGCUUGAGUGCAGAAGAGGAGAGCGGAAUUCCACGUGUAGCGGUGAAAUGCGUAGAGAUGUGGAGGAACACCAGUGGCGAAGGCGGCUCUCUGGUCUGUAACUGACGCUGAGGCGCGAAAGCGUGGGUAGCGAACAGGAUUAGAUACCCUGGUAGUCCACGCCGUAAACGAUGAGUGCUAAGUGUUAGGGGGUUUCCGCCCCUUAGUGCUGCAGCAAACGCAUUAAGCACUCCGCCUGGGGAGUACGGCCGCAAGGCUGAAACUCAAAGGAAUUGACGGGGGCCCGCACAAGCGGUGGAGCAUGUGGUUUAAUUCGAAGCAACGCGAAGAACCUUACCAGGUCUUGACAUCCCGCUGGCCGGUCUGGAGACAGAUCUUUCCCUUCGGGGACAGCGGUGACAGGUGGUGCAUGGUUGUCGUCAGCUCGUGUCGUGAGAUGUUGGGUUAAGUCCCGCAACGAGCGCAACCCUUGAUCUUAGUUGCCAGCAUUCAGUUGGGCACUCUAAGGUGACUGCCGGUGACAA